ACAUUAUUUUAAAUCCGAAAAACUCAGGUCAAAAAUAAGGAUUUUUUUUUUUUCUAACCAUAAAAGUAUAUUAUAUGCUUGUUGUAGAAGAGUUGGAAAAUAAAAACACUUAUAAAAAAGAAACUAAAACUUACUCUUUAUUCUAUUGUCAACAUUUUGUUUUAAUUACUUUGGUUCUUUGUUUGCCCUUAUAUAUGAGUAGAUAUGUAUGUAUGCAUGCACACACAUACACACAUACUUUUUCUCCAAAUGCUAGGCUCAUACUGUGUAUACUGUUGUAUUUCUCUUUUUUUCAUUUCCUUUUAUGUAUAUUUUUUCUUGAAAAUAGGAAAAUAGGAUAAGCACUGGAUGUUGUAUGGAAACCAAUUUGCCAAUAAAUUUCAUAUUAAAGGGAGGGAGGGAGGGAGGAAGGAAAAUACAAAAAUACUUUGCAGGGUGCCUGAGUGUCUCCAUCAAUUAAGUGUCUGACUUUGGAUCAGGUCAUGAUCUCAAGGUCCGUGGGUUUGAAUCCCCUGUUGGGCUCUGUGCUGACAGCUCAGAGCCUAGAGCCUGUUUCAGAUCCUGUGUCUCCCUCUCUCUCUGCCUCUCCCCUCCUCCCUUUCUGUCUCUCUCUCUCUUUCUGUCUCAAAAAAUAAGCAUUUAAAAAAAAAAAGGAAAAUGUUUCUUAGUCAUACUAUCAGUAUUUUCAGGUCUGUCUUAGACUUCAAAAGAGGUGGCCUUUGGCCUUCGGGCCCUUGGCCUUUGCACCCUAUCUGGCCCACCACCUAUUUUGGUAUAACCUGUGAGUUUAUAUUUGUAAAUAAUUGAAAAAUAAUAAAAAUAAUAUUUCAAGGCAUAUGAAAAUUUGUCACAAGAGCAGAGUUAAAUAGUUGCCACAGAGAUCUCUGUAUUGUAUCCUUGGUUUUUCCUCUUUGCUGGCAAAACCUAAAUUAUUUAUUUGAUUACCCUUUACAGAAAAAGUUUGCCAACCCCUGGAUUAGAAUACAGUUCAAAAUUUUUUGUUUAUAGGUUAAAUGGAAAGAACUUUAAGAAGGUAACAAGUUAACUUACAGAAUUUUGUAGAUGACUUUUUAAAAGUAUAUCAAAAUUCUGAGGUAGUAGUUUUUUCCUCUACUCAUAGUUAAUAUUAUAAAUUAGUGAUGUAUUAACAUAAGGUUUUCUAGCAUUGUUGCUUUGGGGCCUAGAGACAUUUCUAUGACAUUCAAAAACAGAAAUCCUCAAACCAAAAGCCCUUCUGUGUAUCAGACACAUUUUGGCUCUUUGGAACUACACUAAACCAAGCCUAGGAAGCAGUGUGAAGAUGGUCUGUAAAAAUAAGGAAGGGAAAGAGUAUGAAAAAGCUCAAGAGAACUCUGCAUGGAAGUUACAUGUUUGCUUCAGAUAAUGUUCUGACUUAACAUAAGGCAAGUAUCUGUUUUCUCAUUCCCUGCAUGGACAAAUGUGCUUUCUCUUUACAUGUAGGCAUUGCUAAAACUGCAUCUUUUUAUUAUCUCAAUAAGUUCUGACCUUUAGUCUUUCAAGCUCAGUUCAUAUGCAAAUUUUGAGAACAUUUUCUUUGUGAAUUCUGGGUUUAUUUAGAAUCUCUUCUUGCUCUUAUGCCAUCCCAUCCUAAUUCUGCUUCUUCCUUUGGGGAGCAGACACUUCCACAAUUUUCUCUUGCUAGUUUUAGCCAGUUUUUCAUAACUGGAACAUAGGCACUUCUCUUUCAUCUAACGACUUAUACAUAUGGUUCAUCAUCUCUUCAGUGCUGCUAACAGCUUACUUCCCUCCAUUUCUAUACUGGUGAGUCUUAGGCCUGGUAAUAAUGGACUUGGUGGGAAGAGUGCUUGGUGUUCUAGGUUGAAACAAAUUCAGGUCUGUCCUGGAAUAGAAUGUACAGUUCUUAUGAGUUUUAAGAGGAAAACAUAAGACCAAACAAAAACUUGAGAAAAUCCAUAUAUAAAUCAGGUUGCUUUAGGGUAGUUUGAUAGACUGUUGAGGAAAUUUGCAUUUUUUUCUAUCUUGAUAUCAUUUCUAUGGAAAAGUUUGAAAAAACACAGUGGUAAAGGGACUAAACAUUCAACUGUUUAUUCUAUAAGUAAUUGUGGAAUUCCCACAUGGUGCCAAGCAAUGUAUGGGUGCUUUGAGAUAUGCAGAGUUGAAAGAGACCCAGGCCCUGCUCUGAAAAAGCAUACAGUUUAAUUGAAGAAGGUUGAUAAGAAUUAUGCAGAGUACACUGGGACAAAAAGGAAGUGAGUGGCAAAUUAAGCUUAGAGGUAGGUUAGGAAAGGCCUCUUAGAAAACAAAGUGUGGUGCUUGAGCCAGACCUGAAAAGUUGGGGGAAUACUUGACCUUGUUGGAGGGUAUCUGCUGGGAACCACAGGCUAAUGAGUUUGGCUGAAGCCUAGGAGUAUAAAAGAGGAUUGGAUAGCCUUGGUCCAGUAGCUGUAGAUGUGAUCACUUAGCAUGGGCAAGGCAAAUGAAGAAGUUUAAGCAAGCAUCAGCCAAAUCAAGGAGAACUUACUUAGAGUAAGGAGUUUGAACUCCUUCCUAUAAUUAUAACAUUAGUUAGCACUGAGUUCCUUACUAUGAUGCUUUGAAUGUGUCAUCUCAUUUAAUCCUUCCAACUCUGAGGUAUUGUUACUUCCUUUUACAAAUACAGAGAUUGAAGUUUGAAGAGAGUAAGUAACUUUCUCAAGGCCACACGACUAGUAAAUGGCAUACAAAGAACUCAGAAACUCUGAUUUCAGAACCUGCACUCCUACCAUAUAUGAGGUGCCUUAGUUGCUGCUGAAGGGCUUUAAAGAAUCAGGCAACAUUGUCAGUAUUGUGUUUUGUAAAGAUCACUUUGGUGUCAUUGAGUUCCAGUAUUAGAAUCCAAUAUUAUAUUCAUCUAUCACUUCAUAGAAUCAUCUUUACUAAUAAUUAUAUUAUAGCUACCUUUAAAAUAAGUAAGAGCAACAGAAGAACUUAUUUAGGCAUAGGAAUUUGAGAAACAGUCACUGUCAUCCAGAGUAGGUGCAGUAGUUUGUUUAAAGUAUCUCUUGCUCACCUUUCAAUGGCUAAUUUUAUGUGCCAAUAUUUAUGUUUACAGGAUUGUAUAACGGGGCAGGAGACAUAAGAAUCUCAUACUGAGAUCUCAAAACCUUUUUUUCUCAGUAUUUUGGUUUGGUGUGGGUUUGGAAUAAAUUCAUCCACUUAAAUAUUGAGCACACUUAUGUACUAGGUACCAAGGAUACAUUAGUGAACAAAGACGACAAAAAUGGAACUCACAUUCUAGUUAGUAAGUUUUAGUAUUUCUACUUAAGCACUAGUAUACUACAAGAAAAUACAAACUUUAGGCAGUUAAUGAUGAUAUUAUGGGCUAAGUGCAAAUCUAAGGGCAAAUUUAAGGUUGCAAAUCAGCAUAAUUUGUAUCUUAAUAGAAAUGAAAGUAAACCAGUGGCCCAAGCAGCUUAAAGUAUCAGCAAUUUAUCAAAAUUGCUCUCCUCUAUUAAAGAAUCACAAGAGACAACUUCUCUGGAUGCUCUUUAAAUAUGUAUAUUAGUUUUGAUAGAGGCAAUAAGUCCUUAUAGUUAUUACUGAGCUUGUAAACAUUUAAAUUCUGCCUCUUUUGUUCUCAUAGCAUUCCUUAAGCAAAUGAAUUGAGAAUCAGAUAACAGAAAUGUGUUAGUCUGUUAGAACAGAAAUGUGUUAUAACCCUCACUUUGGGGCAUGUUGGUGGCUCAGUUGGUUAAGCGUCCGACUCUUGGUUUCAGCUCAGGUCAUGAUCUCCUGGUUCAUGAGUUUGAGCGCCACGUUGGGCUCUGCACUCGCGGUGUGGAGUCUGCUUGGGAUUCUCUCUCUCCCUCUCUCUCAAAAACCCUCACUUUCACAUAGCUGAACCUAGUGUCUUUUAAUUUUUUUCUGAAUGAUCGUUCAUAAUUUCCCAGCAUCAAACCUAAUGAAAUAUAAGCCAGGACAUACAAAUUAACACUUACCAUGGAAAUUUAUUUGAACCAGUUGUUAAAUCAGUAGCAGGUUUUGAACUCCAGUCAGAACUAUGAAGGAAAAAAGAAAUAAUAAGACUUUGAACUAAGUUUUUGUUGUUUUUUUUUUUAAUCACUAUUUGGAUAGCUCUCAUGACUAAUGACAAAUGACUUUCAACUAGAAGUUAAUUAUUUGCUUAAUCUAAAUAGUGCCAGAAAAUAUAAACAAAAGACCUUAUAGGAGCACCAGAUUUUUAUUCUUUAUGAACUGGACAUGUUAGAUAACCUAGCUAAUAGUAUGUUUUUUUAAAACACAGAGCUACCUUUUAAAUAGUGUGAAGUAUUGUCGGUGAAAAAGUAACAUUGUGAAGUGUUUUUAAUUGUGACAAUAAGUAAGUCUUCAGUUUAAUGUUAAUAGCAAAACAGAUUGGGUACUCCAAGUUAAAAUUGUAAAGUUUUUGUAAAAUUUGUAAAGUGUUUUUGUUGUUUUUGUUCCAAGAAUGUACCUUGGACAAAUCAUUGAUAAUCAGGUAUUCUUGAUUACUGAGUGUUUUGGGUCAUUUCUCUUGCAGUUAGACUUUUUUUUCCAGAAUUAAUUGGCAAGGCAUUAUGGUAAGCACACUUACAAAUGUUCUAAACCAAGCAAAUCAGAUACAGAUAAAAUCCUUUUGCAAAGAAGUUUUUGGUUUCAUAAAGUUAAUUUCAUGUGGGAGAGUUCAAAUUAAUUUGGCUGUAAUUUAUACAAGAAAUAAAUGUAUUUAAGGAACACAUUUCCUGUCCUACUGUACAGAAAUAAUACCUAGUUUUGUUAUCAUUUUUAAAUAUUUGGAAACUGAGAAAAGAAAUGUGGUGUUAAUGCAAUUUUCUUAUGUUGUCAGGAUAAGCCUCAUCAAUUUUCUUUAUUUUAGGUAUUAUAUUUCAGAAAUAUGACUCCUUGAAUUCUAAUGGAAGUUUACUAUGGGAGAUUAAGCUAGAGAUACACUAAUUUUUUUUGAUAAGAUUUUACAGGUAGUUCAUUUAUAAGAUUAUAAAUGUCCUAAAAUUGUUUCCUCAUCAUAAUGUAUUUCAGUGCUAGAUUCUCCCUCACCACCACCUCCCCCUUCCCCGCCUCUUUUUAAUAAAAUUGGAAAUGAGAUAGACCUUUUUUUUAUUAAAAGAAAAAUUAUUUCAUGUAGCAGGAAUCUCUCUGUAGGGCUUUUGCAUAGUGCCAUUCAAGAUGUGCCCUGCCCAAGGACAUCUGGCUGAGACAGUAAGUGGGGUCUGAAAUUCAACCCACACUCCAGUCUUCAAGCUGUGUGCCUUCAUACAGGGAAGCAUUCACCUGGAGGCAGAGUUGCUUUUUUCCAGUUCACACAGAGAUACAAUAUGGGCUAGAGUCUGCACUUUUUUUUCUUCAGGGACAUGUUAGAAUACUGAG